UACGGAGGGAGCUAGCGUUAUUCGGAAUUACUGGGCGUAAAGCGUGCGCAGGCGGUUUUGUAAGUCUGUCGUGAAAUCCCCGGGCUCAACCUGGGAAUUGCGAUGGAGACUGCAAGGCUAGAAUCUGGCAGAGGGGGGGUAGAAUUCCACGUGUAGCAGUGAAAAUGCGUAGAGAUGUGGAGGAACACCGAUGGCGAAGGCAGCCCCCCUGGGGUCAAGAUUUGA
rnacentral:rRNA from 1 species